GCGUUUGUAGCUCAGUUGGUUAGAGCACCACCUUGACAUGGUGGGGGUCGUUGGUUCGAGUCCAUUCAGACGCACCA
rnacentral:tRNA from 1 species